UGGCAUUUACGUUGGUCCUUCAUGAUUUUUGACUAAUAUAAUUGAAUUUUUUUUUUUGCAAAAACAUCCUUAGCCUAUUAUUGCAAUAUCAAUAUUAUAUCUCUUCUUUAUUACAAGAAUAACUCAAUAUUGAUCAUUUACCAUUAUAUCCCUACUUCUUUAUUGUGUCAUUUAAAACUACAUUAAUGACUAAUUUAAAUAUUAAAUAAAAUAAUUAGUCUUCUAAAUAACAAAACAAUAGAAAUCUGAAACCUCUUAGGGUUCAUAUGAAGCACGCAGAUUUUACUGGAGGCAACAAUGGCAGUUCAGAUGGUGGCACAAGAGAAGUGUGAUCCUGGUAAAUUCUCUCUAAUUUACAAAUAAAAUUGUUGAGUAAGAUCUUGAAGUAUAUGAUCAAAUAGAAGAUAGAGUAUUCUUUGAUGAGAUGAUAGAAGAGUUCGGAUGAUAGAGAGAAAUUCCAAAGAAUGUAUCAAGUUGAAGAAGUCAAACGAAAACUACAACGAUGUGGUAUUUGUCGCAUGGAAGGGCACAAUAAAAAAUUUUGUCCAUUGACAAAUGACAUUCAGCAGACUAAUGCGAGCUGUGCAACUUCUCAUGGCAUAAUUAGGAACCCUUUUGAAAAAGGUUUGGAUGCAGAUGGAGAAAUGAUAAUAUUUGGUUUAACGAUUUGCGUACCACAACAUGUUAAUUAUAUAAUUUUUAUUAAUAAGAGUGGAGAUUCAUCAAUAUUUUGUUUGCAGGAUUGCAUCUGAUAUUGAAAAAGAUUAUGAAGAACAAGAAUUUUGGACAGGAGGUUGUGAUGCAAGUGCCGACAUGGAACUUAUUGAAGAGUUUUCAUUGUAAUAUUAUAUGAAUUUUUAUUAUGUGCUAAUUGAAUAAAACUUGGGUAAUAGAACUUUGUGUAUGAAUUUUUAUGAUGAAUUUGGUAAUUCAAUAGAACUUAGUGAAUGGAAUUCUGAAUUUGUUUUGGUGAAUAAAAUUUGGUGAAUAGAUUUCUGGGCAUCAUGCCUAGAAUUUGGCUUACUAUU